AUUGAACGCUGGCGGCAGGCUUAACACAUGCAAGUCGAGAGGGGGAAGGUAGCUUGCUACCGGACCUAGCGGCGGACGGGUGAGUAAUGCUUAGGAAUAUGACUAUUCGUGGGGGACAACAUCUCGAAAGGGAUGCUAAUACCGCAGACGUCCUACGGGAGAAAGCAGGGGAUCUUCGGACCUUGCGCUAAAAGAUGAGCCUAAGUCGGCUUAGCUAGUUGGUGGGGUAAAGGCCUACCAAGGCGACGAUCUGUAGCGAGUCUGAGAGGAUGAUCCGCCCCCCUCGGACUGCGCCACGGCCCAGACUCCUUCGGGCGGCAGAAGUGGAGAAUAUUGGACAAUGGGGGCAACCCUGCUCCAGCGAUGCGGCGUGUGUGAAAAAGGCGUUCGUGUUGUAAAGCACUUUAGUUUGGGAGGAAGGUGUAUUGUUCAAGACAUUAUACAUUUGACUACACCCAAAGAAUAAGCCCCGGCUAACUCUGUGCCAGCAGCCGCCGUAA
rnacentral:rRNA from 1 species